rnacentral:lncRNA from 1 species
CUUACAUGGGGAUAUGUUGAUGCUCUGUCAUCUAUCAAUUCUAUCAGCUCUCUGAGGGUUGGUCUCACAAACCAGUUGUGCCCUUAUACAUUACUGAAGAUCUCUAACAGCGUUUACUGAUAUGGAUUAUAUGCUGUGCUAUUUGCUGGAAUACCUAAAACAGAAUGCUGGGCAGCCAAUAGUUCCUGUUAUAGAAUGGGUGCCAUCCUAUGCCCUGUGGUCACAGGAAAGUGUCCCUGAACUGUCACGCGUGAGAAAUAAAAUCAUUGAUCUCUAAGCACUGUUGUGACAAGCAAUGGACUUUGAGGGUUCUCUGCAAGAGUCUUGGUGCACACCACCCCUUCCAAGAACUCCCAAGUAUACUUUGAGGGAUCUUCAUGCUUGUGGCUGGAGUAUCAGUAUCUCUCCAUGUGAGAAAUUACGUCAUAAGGAACAGUGACAAAGUUCAAAAGGAGGCAUGUAGAGCUUAAGGCUUUUUAUCUUGUCGAGUCUAGACUUGGUCUCCAUGGCAGACAACAAUAACAACCCUUGACCAUGGCUUUCCCUGUGCUGAAGGAGUGUGAUUCAUGUGUUUCAUCUUGAUUGCUAUUACUUGUAUCUCUGUUGUUGGUGUUACGUCCUGGGAUUAUGAAAAUUCACUUCACAAAAUGCAUCUCCUGUGAAUGUUCCAGCACUCAUAGUCAAAUGUGCCUCUCUGUCAUAUGAAAAGGAGACAUGGACUUUCGUGCCCUCCUCUGAAGAAGAAGACAUGCUGUGCUGUGUGCCGCUUUCCUUACUCUGUGAUAAGGUGGUGCGGGUCUCAAAUAUCAGUUAAACAAACUUUGCUACCAAAAGAGCAGCGACAACUGUGCACUUUAACAUAGGAAUAUGGAGGCAUAUUUCCAGAGAUGACAUUGGAAGGAUUUAUUCAAGAGAUAAAUCUAUUUUAUUGUUAUCAACUCUUCUUUCCCCAAAAUACAAUGUUGAGAAGAAGUCUGAACGGAAGAAGUUUUUAGACGUAAUUUCAGUACUUCAUGACUUUGGCCCUGAGAUUUGCAUGAAAUUGAGACUGUAAUUAUAUCUUCUCAUUUACUGUCAUUUCCAUGGAGAUGUACUUCACUACAUAAAACCUGUUAAACACAUCUUCCUUUUAAAGCUGGGGAAAUGGAUAAACAGACACAUUCUACAUAUGAGCAGUUCUUUUGUUCAAUAAAAUGUGGCAAUAAUAUAUUAAUUUUACUG